AUUGAACGCGGGCGGCAGGCCUAACACAUGCAAGUCGAGCGGAAACGAGUUAUCUGAACUUUCGGGGAACGAUAAAGGCGUCGAGCGGCGGACGGGUGAGUAAUGCCUAGGAAAUUGCCGUGAUGUGGGGGAUAACCAUUGGAAACGAUGGCUAAUACCGCAUGAUGCCUACGGGCCAAAGAGGGGGACCUUCGGGCCUCUCGCGUCAGGAUAUGCCUAGGUGGGAUUAGCUAGUUGGUGAGGUAAGGGCUCACCAAGGCGACGAUCCCUAGCUGGUCUGAGAGGAUGAUCAGCCACACUGGAACUGAGACACGGUCCAGACUCCUACGGGAGGCAGCAGUGGGGAAUAUUGCACAAUGGGCGCAAGCCUGAUGCAGCCAUGCCGCGUGUAUGAAGAAGGCCUUCGGGUUGUAAAGUACUUUCAGUCAUGAGGAAGGUAGUGUAGUUAAUAGCUGCAUUAUUUGACGUUAGCGACAGAAGAAGCACCGGCUAACUCCGUGCCAGCAGCCGCGGUAAUACGGAGGGUGCGAGCGUUAAUCGGAAUUACUGGGCGUAAAGCGCAUGCAGGUGGUUUGUUAAGUCAGAUGUGAAAGCCCGGGGCUCAACCUCGGAAUAGCAUUUGAAACUGGCAGACUAGAGUACUGUAGAGGGGGGUAGAAUUUCAGGUGUAGCGGUGAAAUGCGUAGAGAUCUGAAGGAAUACCGGUGGCGAAGGCGGCCCCCUGGACAGAUACUGACACUCAGAUGCGAAAGCGUGGGGAGCAAACAGG
rnacentral:rRNA from 1 species